CCCUUAGAUGUCCUGGGCCGCACGCGCGCUACACUGAGUGUCUGAGAUACGAGUCUGCCUGGUCCGGCAAGGUCUAGGUAAUCGCUAAAAGACACAUCAUGCUUGGGAUAGAUUAUUGCAAAUAUUAAUCUUGAACGAGGAAUUCCUAGUAAGCGCAAGUCAACAGCUUGCGUUGAUUACGUCCCUGCCCUUUGUACACACCGCUCGUCGCUACUACUGAUUGGAUGUUUAAGCGAGGUUCUCGAACUGCUAGCGACUUAGCUUCGGUGAGGUCGCAGUGUGGGAAGUGAACCUAGCUUUGGUGUCUAGAGGAAGUAAAAGUCGUAACA
rnacentral:rRNA from 1 species